CUAUAUGCAUUGGUUUUAUUGCAGCCAUUGAAAAGAAAAUUUGUCCGUUGCUCAAAUCAGGUGACAAUUGGAUUACUUCAAGCAUUCUUAGCAAAGAAAUUGAAUCUUGAAGCUGCAAAUCAGAUUGAAAUAAUUUGUAAUGAUAUGGAACUGGGAUCAGACUUUACAUUGCAGUUUAUAAAAGAAACUAUUGCUGAGGAAGAAGACAGCAGUAAACCGUUGCUUUUGUAUUAUGGUCUCAGUGAUAUAUACUGAGCAUAAACUAGAAAGGAGCAAGGAAAGUGUUAAGAAAAGUGAUGUUCAGGCUGACUCUUAUCAUUUCCAAACUCAAGUAAUGUUAACAAGAUGAAAGAACAAGAACACUUUACUUAACAUUGACCUGUAGGAAAACAGAUCUUUUGCGAAAAAUACGUCAAAAACUAGUAGCUCGUAAAUGAAUUGUUUUGAUUUAGAUCACACCAAAGGUUCAUGUUGAAGUGACACUAACCUCGUCUUGUGGCAACUGAUCUUUGAACUCUUCAAUUUUCGAUUCUGUGUCAUGUAAAAUGCUUUCGGCAUGGUUGACUGCUUCAGUUUUUUCCUAAUAAACGUGUAAAAAACAUUUUAAAA